ensembl:lncRNA
CUUUCAAGAAGGUAAUAAAAUAUAUUAACUCUCUUGAGUAAGUGGUUGGGAGGGAUUUAUAAGCAUUUGAGGAUCCGGUGAUCCACUGGAAGCACAGUUUACUCAAUUUUGAAUUUUUCUGAUCAACUUUCAACCCUGAGAAAACGAGAGCCAUUUGCCUAACUUAAUCUGGAACGUAUGUUUGCACCAGUAGCAGGUUUUUUGGUUUGUGGUUGGGGCUGAUCAAGUUGUAAAUUUUCCGCUUUAGGUUUUCAGCGCCUGCUAGUUUCAGCCUAACACCUAGAGAGAGGCUUUGCGGGGCUCUCCACCAAAGCAGCCAUGGUUUGACAAAAGGUUUCCAAACCACCCAGCUCUGAGUGUUACCGAUUUUCCUGAAGAUGGGACAUUUCUAUACAAAUUAGUUCUCUGAAUCCAAAAGACAAGUAACAAGUUACAUUCUCUUUUGUCAAAAUGUUUGUAAAAUACCUACAUGGAGGGUCCCCCCCAUUUGCCUUCCUCACCUGCAACCUUUUUCUUUGAGGGACACACACUUUGAGAGCAGUGAGUGCUGUGGAAGUGACAUCUUCAUUCGACAAAACAAUAUACAGCGUUGCUCGCGGGGUUUCUGCUCUUCGCCCCACCAGCCAGCUCAAACAGACUUAACUCCUGAGAUGGGGACAAAGAUCAGUGCCUGAAAGGCUCACCUUGGGCUGACACGACUCCCAGGGCUUCGGCGCAGAGGAAAGCACAUCGCUGGGAAAUCCUAGCAGGAUUUGAGAAGUCAUUCUGAGUUUACAAGGCUGCCUAGACGUCUCCUGACAGGCGAUUCGAGCCAUCUCUGAGUGGCAUGAGACACAGAUUUCCUUAACAAGGCUCGGCUGGUCAUGGAAACUGGAUGCUGCCUUCAAAAUAUAAAUAAUAUAACUUUAUUCUUCUCCAGGCAACCAGGUCUUUGAUAUCGCCUUUGGCUGAAGCAAAGUCCAAAGGUGGCCAGCAUGCUGCCAAAUAGCCCUGUUAGAUUGUAGCUUGAGGGAGGGAAACAGCACUUUCUCCAUCUUUAAGGGUUUGAAUGAUGUUACCUAAUUAUAUGAAUAUUCUGUGGAACUGAGCUAACAAAACACAGCUUCUGAGAUUUGUGAUGUGAAGAAAAUCAAGAAAAAACCACUGGUUUCUGGAUAGGCAAAAAUGCCAUAUUUUUCCUUUAAACUAAGUCGGUCUGAAUUCAGAAGACUAAGGGGUUCAUCUCAUGUCUGCUUUCUAAAGUACUUCUGUUGGUUCUUCCCGGAAUUUCAUUUACAGUUUGGUGGUGGGGGAAAUCCAUGUAGAUACAUGUUAGCCUUAAACUACUCCUAAUUUCCUGCUACUGAAUAUUGUCUUUAUAAUAACUCAUUGAUUCAGAGAAUACAGAAGGCAGAGCUUGGGUUUUCUAUUGUUCUGUCCCCUGCCCCCACCCCACACAUACAAAUUUUCCCAGUGAAGUGUUUUGUAAAAAAAAAAAACCUAACCAACCAACCAAACAAAAACCUUAGGAAAUGAAUAUUAAAAUAUUCCAAAUGAGUUUUAAAUGCUACCCCAAUCUGAGGUUUGCUUCUCAGUGAAAAAAGGCAUGGCAUAAUAGAUAUGAAAUAGCAAUUCUCUAUUUUCUGCUAAUCUAUUUACUGUGCAAAACAACCACAUUGAGAAUCAAGGAACUGCUAGAUAAGAAUAUACUCAAAAUGUUCAUUAAAACAUCU